CUUUAAAAAAGAAUAAAAUAAAAGAACUCCCAAGUCCUAACCCUUUAUGUGUUCAUGACAAAAUAAGUGGAUAUUUCCAAACCUCCUCAGGAAUCUCCUCAACGCAGCUUUUGUAACGAUGAUAUGCUAAAUGUUCAGAUUCAGUAGUCACCGUGAUGUUUAUUAUAGCCUAUAGUGUAACUAUAUUUUGUUUCUUUUUCCACGACCAUAGUUAUUUGAUGUUCAAUACUCUCCAUUCCAUAUUUACUCUAGGAUGAGAUAAUUGCUCAGAAAUUAAUCUCUGCAAUCCUUUAACAUGUUUGCACAAAGUUGAUUUUUUUUUCUUUUUUCUUUCUGUAGCUAUAUUGCUUCGAUGUUUUUUCAGUAUCUCAUCUAAAGUUUUCUCAAAUCUGAUUGUUAAUAUAUCUCUCUCACCUCAUCCAUACAUGGGACAUAUUAGCCCCUUGUUGGUAUUUCAGAUUCUUAGGCUUAAAUAAGUUCCAGUACAGUACCUAUGUGAUCUUUUGUGCAGGCCACCCAUGGAUUGUGGAUGACAGGAUUUCCCUAGAUAAACCUCUUGAUUCUGCUAUUUUAUCGCACCUGAAGCAGUUCUCUGAAACGAACAAGCUUAAGAAGAUGGAUUUGCAUGUCAUAUCAGAGAGGCUUUCUGAAGAAGAGAUGGGUGGUUGGAAAGGCUUGUUCAAAAUGAUAGACACAGACAACAGUGAAACAAUAAUUUUGAUGAAUUAAAAGACGACUUAAAAUGAGUAGCUCUGAACUAAUGGAGUCUGAGAUAAAGGAGACGAUGGAUGCUGCUGAUAUUGACCACAGUGGAGCAAUUGAUUGUGGUGAAUUUCACUUGAAUAAAUUGGAGAGAGGAGAAUUUAGCAUCUGCUUUCUCAUUCUUUGAUAAAGAUGGUAGUGGUUACAUAAGUAUUGAUGAGCUUCAACAAGCCUACAAAGAGCUUGGCUUAAGAAGGAGAAAUAGACUGGUGAAUUAACUGCAUUGAUGAGGAAGGGAGACGGAGAACAAUGAGAAGCACAGUUAAUUUGGGAGAUGCUUUAUGAAGGGCUGCCCUUUUAUUAUCAUGUGUUUUGGUAAAUAAACUACCAUCUACAAGAAUGGUAUGAUGAUUUACAAUUUGUUGUUAGAGUAUCGUCUGGAGGAACAGUAGCUAGUCU